ensembl:lncRNA
GGGCUAGAGUUUGAGAAAAGAGAGUUCUCCAGCUAUGGGGUAGACUACCCUGGAAUCUUCGUGCUUUUAAAGUGGAGACACAAGGAAGUAAGUGCAAGAUGAUUCCCCAGUGCUGUAGGUGGGCUUGGGAAAGGGAGUUACUCAACUGUUGGGGAUGACUUCUCUAAAAGCGGGAGGGGAAAGGGUCCCACGAAAGGCAGCGCCCUGACCCAUUCACACGCCCACAACCUUCACACCGGUAUCUCUGGGGAAUUCUAGCACCCUGGUUUCCUAUUUAGACAGUAAAAGACAUGGAGAGCAUCUGAAGGUGGGGGAAAGAAAGGAGACUGGCCAGAAGAGACAGCCCCUUCCCGGCCACAGGACUAAGACUGAAGUGCCAAAUAAGCAGCCACACGGCUCCGUCUGCACCAGGCACCACAAGCACCCACCCACAGACCCCGAGCUCAUCUCCGGGCUCCCUGCUGCGCUGGCCCGUCGGCCCACUGCUGCAAGUCUGUGCUGGAGGGCUGUGCCACGAGCAUGCAGAGGGGGCCCACAGGGCAUUCGGACUUCCAGAAAUGAGUGCCAACACCCUCCUUCUGCCUUCAGUCAGGGGAUGACCAGAGCUGACACUUGAAUGAUCCAGCUUCUUACACCCUCCGGUGGGAUCCACCAAGGCAGGUUCCUCACACGGCCUCCCAGAGCACCAGCAAAGCAGGGCUCCAGCUGCCCACAGUGGUGACUUGCUUGGUAACCCACUACUGGAGAUUCUGCUGUUUCUUUCACCUUCCAAAUAAACUACGGACACAGAUGCCCAUGUCUCUCUGAGGAGAAGUCAAUCUAAGAAAAUACCUCAUACCAUAAGGACCUGAAGAUACAUGAAGUGAAGUCGCUCAGUCGUGUCUGACUCUUUUCGACCCCAUGGACUGUAGCCUACCAGGCUCCUCUGUCCAUGGAAUUUUCCAGGCAAUAGUACUGGAGUGGAUUGCCAUUUCCUUCUCCAGGCGAUCUUCCCGACCCAGGGAUCAAACCAGGGUCUCCUGCAUUGCAUUAAGAGACUUUCAGGGAACUCUCUUAAAUCUUCUGGAAACAAAUAAACUUUAGAGUCUCAGGUUUUUCACAGAAUUAGCAAUACACAAUCUAGAGAUAUUUACAGAAUAUUAAGAUAAAAUUCCAGUAGUGUUUGUGAUGACCAGAGUCCACUAGACUUAUAAGAGUAAUUCAGAAGAAUGCUAUCAUGAGUUUUUUCACUUUGCAUGGUGAGUGAGUUCAUUCUAACUCAAAAAGAUAAAAUCUCUUUGAUAUAAUGAAAAGCAAUUCUAAAACACAUUUUUUUUUAACAUGGAGAAGUUCCAUUCCAGAAAUAAUUAUUGAAGGCCUACUAGCUUCCAGACAUGAAGACGACCUAGCCCCUGUCCUCAGAGAAGUUAGUACCUAGAAAAAUGAGAGACAGACAUGUAAGUCAAUAAUUACACUAGGGUCAAAAAGUGUGAUAAUUAAACUGUGAACAAAGACACUGGAGGAAGGUCUGUCUGAAUGGAAAAGAGCUAAAUAAAGUUUCACAAGCAGCUAUAGUUCAAGGUUUUCAAAGAUGUCUGGGAUUACAGGGGUGGGACAGAGAGAACACACCAGGUAGAGAGGCC